rnacentral:rRNA from 1 species
CCUACGGGGGGCUGCAGUGGGGAAUAUUGGACAAUGGGGGCAACCCUGAUCCAGCCAUGCCGCUUGUGUGAAGAAGGCCCUCGGGUUGUAAAGCACUUUCAGUGAGGAAGAACGCCUGGUGGUUAAUACCCAUCAGGAAAGACAUCACUCACAGAAGAAGCACCGGCUAACUCCGUGCCAGCAGCCGCGGUAAUACGGAGGGUGCGAGCGUUAAUCGGAAUUACUGGGCGUAAAGCGCGCGUAGGUGGCUUGAUAAGCCGGUUGUGAAAGCCCCGGGCUCAACCUGGGAAUGGCAUCCGGAACUGUCAAGCUAGAGUGCAGGAGAGGAAGGUAGAAUUCCCGGUGUAGCGGUGAAAUGCGUAGAGAUCGGGAGGAAUACCAGUGGCGAAGGCGGCCUUCUGGACUGACACUGACACUGAGGUGCGAAAGCGUGGGUAGCAAACAGGAUUAGAUACCCCUGUAGUC